AUCCCUCCCAACGCCAUUAAUGUUCACCAAACCCUUACACCGUACUAAAAAAAACGAAACCUCCAUUGCUGCAAACGUCAAGUUCUCAAAGCGUUUUCAAGUUCGAUUCAAGUUUUCAAGCAAUAAUCUACACAUCAAAUCCGGAAUUUCUCAACCCACAAACUACAUUUGAGGACGAAAAACUGAAAACAUUCGAUCUGUACGUUUGCAGAGUCGAAAUCGGACAAACACAGUUCACAGUUCUGAUUUGCAUCCAGACGAAAACACACAAAAAAUUUGCGAAAUAAAAGCAACAGAGAAGAAACAGAGAUGGACGGAACAAAGAAACUAAGAAUAAAGACUUUCGCUGUAAAGAGUCCACGUAAGAUAGAGAAUAUAAGACCAGCAACUUCUUAUGUUCAAUAUAGAUGCAACGUUUUCGGGUUUGCAAAUGCAAUGCAAUUGUACAGACCA